rnacentral:rRNA from 1 species
CACCCUACGGGAGGCAGCAGUGAGGAAUAUUGGUCAAUGGCCGGAAGGCUGAACCAGCCAAGCCGCGUGAAGGACGAAGGUGCCAAGCAUUGUAAACUUCUUUUGUUAAGGGACAAAAUCAGGCUCGAGAGCCUGACCGAGGGUACUUGAAGAAAAAGCAUCGGCUAACUCCGUGCCAGCAGCCGCGGUAAUACGGAGGAUGCGAGCGUUAUCCGGAUUUACUGGGUGUAAAGGGAGCGAAGGCGGCUUGGCAAGUCUGAUGUGAAAGGCUGGGGCUCAACCCCAGGACUGCAUUGGAAACUGUU